rnacentral:lncRNA from 1 species
CCGGCUCUCCGCCGACUCCCGGCGUCGGGGACCCUCGGCCGACCUGCCGCUCGGCGGACGGGACGGCGGGCACGCGGCUCGGCCUGGCAUCGGGGCGGGGUGGGCGGCGCCCCCGCGGCCGGCCGGCUGGCCACCUCCCGGGCGCGCAGACCGGGCCGCUCCGGUCGGCCGGCCCGAGAGGAGGGCGUGCGCGGCGCCGACCCGAGUCGCGGCCGGCCGCGGUCACACCCGGCCACCUCUCGGCUGGCCUGCCGCCGGGCCCGAGGGCGCGGGGCUCCCCGCGGGUCCGGGCCCGGCCUGCCCGAGACGAGGACGGCUCGCGCCGGCGACCGAGGCCAGGGAGGGGGAUGGGGCCGGGCCGCCGCUUACCGCGGCCGCUCCGCAGGGCUCCGGGCCGGGCGCGUCGCGAGGGCUCCGCCGAGGAGGAAACGGGGGCUGACCGGCGCGCGGGGAGGUCCAAGCUGCGGCUCCUGCGGGCUCCCGGGCCUGUCCAAGCUUCCAACGCCGCCGCCGCCGCCGCCGCCGCCGCCGCCUCCGCCGCCGCCGCCGCCGCCGCCGCCUCGGGCUUUAUGGCCAAGACUCCGGCUCCGCUCCCACUUCCGCCACCGCCGCCGCCCCGAACGGAAGUACCUGUCACGAGACGCUCGACGCCAGGGCUGCGGGGGCGGAGCCCCACCUCAGCCGUGCGUCACGUUCCGCCGUCUCCGGCCCCGGCCCGAGUCACGUGGUACAAACAUGUCUGCCUCCAGUAGCUGCGGCCAUCUUGGAGGCCCCCGCCGGGAGCAGAGCGGCGCCAUGCUGGACCCACCCACCGAAGCCUCAGCCCCUAAGCAGCUCCUCAUCAAACAGAGCGAAGAAAUUGAACCCGGAGAGCUCCGCGGAGGGUGGGGCACCCCACCCAGCUCUAGCUCCACGUGCACACCGUAGGAGCUGCUCAGAACUUUGGCUCCGUCUUCAACAACAUGCUCCUCUCAUAACCUUUUCCUGUGUUGGUUCCUGCAAACUUCAUUCUUCUGGUUACUGGAUACAAUAACUAUGGAAUCAUUCUUGAUUACCGUAGUGGGUUGAAUAGUGACGCCCCAAAAGGUAUGUCCACAUCGUGGAACCUGUGGGUGUGAUCUGAUUUGGAAAAAGUGUAUUUGAAGGUGUAAUUAAGGAUCUGGAGAUGAGACCUUCCUGGAUUCCUCCUUGUAAGAGACAAAUCAAGAGGAAAAGGCCACGUGGAGACAGAGUGGCCACAAUCGAAAGGAUGGCAGCAGCAAGUGGUGGGGGCCGGUGCUGAGGUUGACUUUUGUGUUUGAGAGAAUCUACUUCUGUUGUUGUAAGCCACCAGCAGUUCCAGGACACUAAAUCUCUCUCUCUUGGACCCCUCACCCACAGCCUUUGAGAGAUACCCAGAAUGUGACCCCUUACACUCUCUGCCACCACCACCUGCUCUGAACCACCAUCCUUUCUCACCUGGAUUAUGGCAACAACUUGGCUUCCUGCUCCCACCCCAUUCCCUAUCUAGUAUCAACACAGCAGUCACAAUAACAUGUCAUUCUCCUGCUCAAACUAUUCCCAUAGGUCAGAAUAAGAACUAAAGGUUUUACAACCCAAAGGCCCUAUCCUGGGACUUGUCUGGAGGUCCAAUGGUUGGGACUCCCCACGCUCAAUGCAGGGGGCCUAGGUUCGAUCCUUGGUCACGAAACUAAGAAUCCCACAUGCCAGAGCUAAGGCUUUGUGGGCAACUAAAGAUUCUGCAAUAAAGAUCACAGCCAAAUAAGAAAAAAAAUUAAGUGUGAUGAGGAGAAACACAGCAAAGGCAGUGGGUAGGGAGUGACCCCAGCCUGUAUCCCCAAAUCAGGCCACUUCCUUGUCUGCCUGGUUUGAUGCUGAGAUGCCAAUGCCUGGAACAGUGCCUGAGUCGUGACAGGUACGCAGUGAGUAUUCACUGAGCGACUGAUAAAUUCAUUCCUCUGCCAUCUCCCUAAUUCUCUCCUUUCACAUAAGGAGCUCCCACCACUCCCUUGAGACUAGUCCAGCAAGAUUAUAUUAGUAAACAUGCAGUCAUGGUGCUGUAUUUCAGAAAGUAACCCUACCUGCUUUAACAGUAGGCCUCCAAGGAGUCAGAUUUCAAACAAGACAGAAGUAGGUGGCUCUCCUGCACACACAGACGUGGGCAACCCUGUGGCCACACUGUUCACAAGGGGCUUGUCACUGUAGAGAGCUGGGAGCAGGGGAGGAGCUCCGUGGAGAUGGCACACCUGCUUCUUAAACGCCUGGGCGCAGAAGUGACACACACCACCUCUGCUCACAUUCCUUUGGUGAGAGCUAGUUGUGCUGCACACCUGGAUACAAGAGGACCUGCAAAAUGUGGCAGCGGGCGAGGCGCCAGCUAUGUGCUCCGGAAGAGGGAGAACGAACCUGGUCACGAGCUGUCUGCCCUGCCGCAGAUACAGCGUGGAGAACACUGGAUACAGGACGCCAAGGAGUGAGGGCGGUGCAGGAGAAACAGCUGAGGUUGCCCAGGAGAUGGAGUAGCCAAGAAGGGCUUCCCAGAGGAGGUGGUGCCAAGGUGACUCAUGAAGGAUGAAUAAGAACCUGCUGGGCCAAGAGGAAGGUGACUAUCCUGGAGGGACGGCUAUGUGCAAAGGUUGAGAAAAGAGCAUGUCAUAACUCGUUCCAGAAAUUGCUGACCAGUUGGUGUUCCUGGAGAACAGAGUUGGAGGGAAGGAAGCAGGAGCCGAGAGGAAACUCAUGCACAAAGGCUGGCUGGUGGUGUGUCCUGAGUGCCUUUGAUCCUGAGGUUGAGGGAGCCUUUUCCUGUUUCCCUGCUAUUGACAGUCCAGAUCCACAAUUGAGGGCAAAGAGUGUGGAGGAGCUGACAUUUAGGGAGACUGGGACACCGGCUAAGACGGGUGAGACCCGGCCCUGUCUUGGUGCAGGCGGAAGUGGCAGGACUGGCCCUGCCACCCAGCUCACCUCCCCGCACUGAGGAGAGGGGAGACAGAGAAUUCACGGGGCCACAGGGCCGCUGGGGAUCACUGGGCUGCCCCCCACCCUGGUUACUGAGGUGAGGGGGCUCUGUGAGACUUACAGCUGGGGUGGGGGGAACAGGACCCAUGGGACUCUCCUUUCCUGGGGAAUCUCUGAAUGGAUCCUGCCCUCCAACCCCUGGCAGGGGCAGGAGAGGACUCCAAGACGAGAGGAGGCUACAGGGGUUGCUGCUUGCAUACCUGCCUGGCCUGGGCGAGGCCACCCUGUAGGCUUUUCCUGGAGUCAAGAGGUCGGUCCAAAGGGCAGCAGCUUGCUUAAGCCACUGUAUCAGCGAUCCUUCACUGCAAAACAAAACACCCCCAAGCCUAAGUGACGAAAACCUGUGCUCACCUCUUAUCUCAUGACUCCCAUGGACCAGGAGGUCACACAGUGGGUCGUGAGCAUGACCCCUGUAUCCUCCAUGCUGCCUGGGCCAUGGCAGAGGGACUCGGCUGAGGGAUGAGCUGAGGGUUCGCCUGGGGCUGGCUCACACAACGGUGACUGGUGCUGACACGUGCACUUCUCUCCACACGGCCUCUCCACGGGGCUGCUCAUGUACGCACAACGUGGCAGCUGGCUUCCGCCUGAGAAAACCACCCAAAAGGCCAAGGUGAUGCUGCAAUCUCUGACAUGACCGAGCCUCACAAGUCACCCGUCAUCACCUCCACAGAACUCGGUGGGCUCACACGGAGUAGCUCUGACUCAAUGUGCAAGGACCACGGAAGGACGUGCACCCCUGGCAGGAGAAUCAUGGCUGUCGUGGAGGCUGCAGACCACGGCUCUCUUGCUGGCUCUGUGGCUGGGAGGGCUGGCCAGGGACAGGGCACCUGAGGAGGAUGAGCUGGAGGGGCAGAAGGGUUCUAACCUGGCCGGCUCUACCCUACGGUGGACCCAGAUGAGGGGAAGGCCCACGGAGCUCUGUGGGUAGCUCACCCAUGGCCCCACACAGGUGUCGGGGCUCCCAGAGCACAGAGAAGCAGCCACGACCUGAAGGAUCUGUUCAAAAGAUGCCCUUCCCCCACGGCACUCAGCUGUCACCUUUGUCAGAAGUCAGAUGACUAGAUUUAUGGGUCUAUUUCUAGACUGUCCUGUUCCAUUGAUUUGUCUGCCCAACUUUAUGCCAACACCACACUGGAUUAAUUACUAUACUUACAUGGGAGGUCCUGAGAUCUGGCGGGUAAGUUCUCCAACUUUCUCCUCCUCCCCUUCUGGAAGGCCUUUGCAAUCGUUGGCCCUUUGCAUUUCUAUAUAAAUUUUAGACUCAGCUUGUCAAUUUCCACAUAAAAAUUCUGCUAUAGACUGGAAUCAUGGCAUUUAUGAUCCACUUGGGGAGAAUUUUAUUGAGUUGUACACUUAUGCAUUAUUUGAAUGCUUUUUCAUAUAUGUGUUACACUUCAAAGUAUUUAAUGCCAUUAGGAAAUCUGCUAUCCACAGCACAUGUGUGUUACGUUGCUCAGAUGUAUCCAACUCGUUGCGACCCUAUGGAUCAUACUCCGCCAGACUUCUCUGCCCAUGGGAUUCUCCAGGCAAGAAUACUGGAGUGGGUCGCCAUGCCCUCCUCCAGGGGAUCUUCCUAACCCAGGGAUCGAACUCAUGGCGUAUUUUGUAUUUAUGUUACACGACAUUGAGAUUCUUCAACCGAUUAACAUUAAACUUCUUUCAAAACUUCACUUUUUCCCCAAGGGAUCUGUGUUCCCUCAAAUUCUAUCAUUUGCAUACCAUCUUCAUAAUUUUUUUUUUAUAUAUCCCAUGCCAUCAAUACUGCUAGUUAUGGAAAGGGAGUUGAUUUUUAAAAAUUUAAACUCUUUGUAAAUAAACCUUUGUAUCAGCAUCAUAAGGGGAUGAGUCUCUCCUGCCAAGUGAAGAUAACUGGCAAGGCAAGCAUCACAAAAAUAAGAUUGUUGACUUAUAACUGGCUGUGGUCUGCUGAAAGUUGAGAAGGAAGCCUACACUUUCUCUAUUCAAAAUGCAUAUUUGCAAGUUUUAGAGAAAUGCGACAUGCGCAUUGCCAGCAUACCAAGAAUUUCUCCCUGAGGUGAUCAGGAAGAUUGGAAAACUGCUGGAAAAGGAAUAAUUCGGUCACUUUUUGGUUUUCCGGAGCUAACUGUAGACCCACAUGCAGGCGUGAGACACAGUCCAGAAAGACGGCCUGUACGCUUUACUCGGCAUCCCCCAAGGGUGCCCCCGCGGGGACACUGACACUGGUGGUAUUUUGAGCUCCUCAGUCUUACCUGUACUCCCUUCUGCGUGUGUGUGUGCGUGUGUGCACGUGCAUGUUAUGUAAGUUCAUCCCCCAUGCAGGUCUGUGUAUCCACCAUCACCCAACUGUGUUUGAACGCCAUUCUAACUCAGGAAUCCGGGCUGAUGGUGCCAGUCCCCACCCCUGCGGGCCCCUGCCUGCUGUGUCUCAGGUGCAGUGUGGCCCACUCCUGUACUGCCCCUGGAGACCCCAGCCACAUGUGAACCGCCAUGCCUCCCUGCACUGCCCCCCUCCCCACCCGGGGUCACAGCAACCUCCACGAGGCAGGGAAGCAGGAUCUUACCACGUCCCUGAAAGGAGAGGAAUCUGAGCGCUAAGGAACAGCAGUGACUGUCCAGACAGUAACUGAAUAUUAAU